rnacentral:rRNA from 1 species
GACGAACGCUGGCGGCGCGCCUAACACAUGCAAGUCGAGCGAGAACUACUCCUUCGGGGGUAGGGAAAGCGGCGAACGGGUGAGUAACACGUGGGUAAUCUGCCCUCGGUUCUGGGAUAGCCCGGGGAAACCCGGAUUAAUACCGGAUGGCCUCUCGAGCUCUCGGGCUCGAGAGAAAAGGUAGCUUCGGCCUCCGACCGAGGAUGAGCCCGCGGCCGAUUAGCUUGUUGGCGGGGUAACGGCCCACCAAGGCGACGAUCGGUAGCUGGUCUGAGAGGACGAUCAGCCACACUGGGACUGAGACACGGCCCAGACUCCUACGGGAGGCAGCAGUGGGGAAUCUUGCGCAAUGGGCGAAAGCCUGACGCAGCGACGCCGCGUACGGGAAGAAGGCCUUCGGGUUGUAAACCGUUUUCAGGAGGGACGAAGCCACUCGGGUUAAUAGCCCAGAGGGUGACGGUACCUCCAGAAGAAGCCCCGGCUAACUACGUG